GACGAACGCUGGCGGCGUGCUUAACACAUGCAAGUCGAACGGAAAGGCCCCUUUGGGGGUACUCGAGUGGCGAACGGGUGAGUAACACGUGAGUAACCUGCCCUUGACUUCGUGAUAACUUCAGGAAACUGGGGCUAAUACCGGAUAGGAAUCCUUGCUGCAUGGUGGGGGUUGGAAAGCUUCGGCGGUUUUGGAUGGACUCGCGGCUUAUCAGCUGGUUGGUGGGGUAGUGGCUUACCAAGGCUUUGACGGGUAGCCGGCCUGAGAGGGCGACCGGCCACAUUGGGACUGAGAUACGGCCCAGACUCCUAAGGGAGGCAGCAGUGGGGAAUAUUGCACAAUGGGCGGAAGCCGGAUGCAGCAAGGCCGCGUGCGGGAUGACGGCCUUCGGGUUGUAAACCGCUUUCAGCAGGGGCGAAGCUUGUGGUGACGGUACCUGCAGAAGAAGCACCGGCUAACUACGUG
rnacentral:rRNA from 1 species